ACAGCCAUAUCAUGUUGAAAUACUGGUCCUCAUGCAAUCACUGAAGUUAAGCAAUAUUGAACCUGAUCAGUACCUAGAUGGGUAACCACUUGGGAAUACCAGAUGUUGUAAG